CAAAUUUUGGAACUUUCAAGUCAUAGUUCAGCCCAAUAAAGGCUGUGGGUGAGAAUGACAAGCUUAUGAAAUAAAUGAGAGGAUACCAAUACCAAAACUGGCUAAAAACAGCUAGGCCAACUACUGCAGUGACUUUAUCAUGUUUUGUCUUAGAAAGCAAUCUUAUUGUUACAUUCCUUCCACCAGCAUCAAGUAUUCCAGAAGCAAGGAUUGCACCCAUCUUGCUCAUGGUGUCUUCAUGCUUAUCAAGAAUUAUCUUUUCCAAUUG
rnacentral:misc_RNA from 1 species